GACGAACGUUGGCGGCGUGCUUAAUACAUGCAAGUCAACUGAAGCGACGGUAGUAAUACUGUCGUGGAGGUGGCGCACGGGUGAGUAACACGUAGGUAAUCUGCCUUCAGGUCUGACAUAACUCCGAGAAAUCGAAGCUAAUAUCAGAUGAUGCAGCGGCUUGACAUCAAGACAGUUGUUAAAGCUUCGGCGCCUGAAGAUGAGCCNGCGUCUGAUUAGCUAGUUGGCGGAGUAAUAGCCCACCAAGGCUUCGAUCAGUAGCUGGUCUGAGAGGAUGAUCAGCCACACUGGAACUGAGACACGGUCCAGACUCCUACGGGAGCAGCAGUAAGGAAUAUUGCUCAAUGGGAAGAAAUCCUGAAGCAGCAACGCCGCGUGAAGGAUGAAGGG
rnacentral:rRNA from 1 species